rnacentral:rRNA from 1 species
UACGGGGGGAGCAAGCGUUGUUCGGAUUUACUGGGCGUAAAGGGCGCGUAGGCGGUAGCACAAGUCAGUUGUGAAAUCUCCGGGCUUAACUCGGAAAGGUCAACUGAUACUGUGCGACUAGAGUGCAGGAGGGGCAACUGGAAUUCUCGGUGUAGCGGUGAAAUGCGUAGAUAUCGAGAGGAACACCUGCGGCGAAGGCGGGUUGCUGGGCUGACACUGACGCUGAGGCGCGAAAGCCAGGGGAGCGAACGGG